rnacentral:rRNA from 1 species
CCUACGGGAGGCAGCAGUGGGGAAUAUUGGACAAUGGGCGCAAGCCUGAUCCAGCAAUGCCGCGUGUGUGAAGAAGGCUGCUGGGUUGUAAAGCACUUUAAGCAGGGAAGAAAAAACUCGGGCUAAUACUCUGAGUCUUGACGGUACCUGAAGAAUAAGCACCGGCUAACUCUGUGCCAGCAGCCGCGGUAAU